AGCAGCCGCGGUAAUUCCAGCUCCAAUAGCGUAUAUUAAAGUUGUUGCAGUUAAAAAGCUCGUAGUUGAACUUCGGGGUUCACCCAUUGGUCAGGCUUAAUUGUCUGCACUGGUGAGAUGAGUCUCUACCUUCUGAGGAACUUUCAUGUCAUUAAUUUGGUGUGAUUGGAAAUCAGGACUGUUACUUUGAAAAAUUAGAGUGUUUAAAGCAGGCUAACGUCUGAAUACAUUAGCAUGGAAUAAUGAAAUAGGACGGACUGAUUCUAUUUCGUUGGUUUCUAGGAUCACCGUAAUGAUUAAUAGGGAUAGUUGGGGGCAUUAGUAUUCAAUUGUCAGAGGUGAAAUUCUUGGAUUUAUUGAAGACUAACUACUGCGAAAGCAUUUGCCAAGGAUGUUUUCAUUAAUCAAGAACGAAAGUUAGGGGAUCGAAGACGAUCAGAUACCGUCGUAGUCUUAACCAUAAACUAUGCCGACUAGGGAUCGGACGAAGUUAAUUUUAUAAUGACGCGUUCGGC
rnacentral:rRNA from 1 species